GGUAAUUGAUUCGUUUAACAGUAUAUAUACAUCCCCUUAUAAGAGGAUACUCAACAAAGAUAGAUGUUUUAUAGUUCAAAGAUGAUGUCUUUUGUUAAAUUGUUGGUUUUGAUGUUAGCAUGUUUUGCCAAAGCAGUACCUCCACCUCUUCCAUCACAAACAUGUAUAGAUAGACUUCAGGAAAAUUGUAGAAGAAUUCUCUUCAAAGGAGACAGUACCAGAUAUUCGAUAUUAUAUACAUAUAAAUAGGAAUUCGCAGUUGUAUUAUUUCGAUGAAAAUAUCGUAGAUGAUUAUUGUAGCUUCGUUGAUAAAGUGAUUCAAUAUUACCAAAACAACAUUGAAGCUUUGAGAAGUUUGUGCAAUACUGAUCAAACAAGAUACUAUGUUGAGAUGAUGCCGCAUAUAAAGAACGUUGCCAUGUCAGUGUGUGAUGACGAGAAUAAGAAAGAUUUAAAAGCACUACUGACAUGUUAUAACAACAACACUGUUGCACAGAUUGGGUUUAUGGGUUGUAUUGAGGCUAACUGGAAUUAUUUCCGUUUCUAUUUACCCGAUUCGCCGCUCACUUGUACAGAAGACGAUCACCAAUCUUGGUUCACAUCUGCAGCCACCGGUAUCAAGUCAUGCUUUUGUCAGUUUGAUUCGUGCGCACCAGAAAGUACAAGUUCAAUAACAGAAAUGCUGACAAGUCAUCAAACUGACGUCUGUAAAGUUCUUUCGUAUUCCAUCUCAAUCAAUUGAUAAGAUAAUAAUGAAAAAUAACAAAAUUCUGAAUAAAUAAAGUUCAAAGAGAA